rnacentral:lncRNA from 1 species
AUAUGAUUUUAAAUAACUGAAAAGUUAUAUGGGUGAAAAGAGAAAAGUGGAGAUAAAAUGUUAGAGAUGUCAUACUAAUACUUUCAGCUCUUCCUGGUUCAAGAAUAGAUUCAAGUGAUUUUUAGAAGAUGCUAACAGAACUAUGAGAUGUGCAAAGGCUACUUCAACAAAGCUUUGAUUCAUAUGAGGAAGAGAAACAAGUUUAAAUGAGACACUUGCAUUUUAUCAUAGGUAAAUGUAUUUUAGUGACAUUAUUUAUUGAUGUAUGUUUUAGUGAAGAAUGCUGCUUUGAAUUGGAUUUUCUUGUUGAUCCCUUUGUUGCUGUUAUAUGGUGGUUUCUGGUCUUGGUUUUGAGCAUGCUAGUAGUGUUGUUUCCAGUUGGCAAAUAUAAGUUAUGCAGGCUAGUUUUGAGCCUGCUAGUAGUGUUCUUGAGUAUCUUUAAAUACUUCAGUUAAUACAUAAUAUAUAUUAUGGCUUUGUUUAAAUAUCAUGUCUUUAAUUAAGUUUGAUGUAUGUAUUAGGGAAGAAUGAUGCUUUGAGUUGGGUUAUCUUAUUGAUCCCUUUGUUGCUGUUGUAGGGUGGUAUUUGGUUUUUGUUUUUAGCAUACUGGUGGUAGAAGUAUUAUACUUGUGACAUUGCGUUGUUUCCAGUUAGCAAAUGUAAGUU